GGCUCAGCUCAGUAGUUAUAGCAAUGGACUUGAAAGCCAGGGGUAGUAGGUUCAAUUCCUGCUGGGGCCU